rnacentral:rRNA from 1 species
AUUGAACGCUGGCGGCAGGCCUAACACAUGCAAGUCGAGCGAGCGGCGGACGGGUGAGUAAUGUAUGGGGACUGCCCGAUCGAGGGGGAUAACUACUGGAAACGGUUGCUAAUACCGCAUACUAUCGGAUAACCCAUAUGGGAUUAGCUAGUAGGUGGGGUAAAGGCUCACCUAGGCGACGAUCUCUAGCUGGUCUGAGAGGAUGAUCAUCCACACUGGGGCUGAGACACAGCCCAGACUCCUACGGAGGCAGCAGUGGGGAAUAUUGCACAAGGGGAGCAGGACUUAUGAAGCCAUGCCGCGUGUAUGAAGAAGGCCUUAGGGUUGGAAAGUACUUUCAGCGGGGAGGCGUUACCCGGAGAAGAAGCAACGGCUAACUCCGUGCCAGCAGCCGCGGUAAUUC